CACGUAAGGUGCAAGCGUUGUUCGGAAUUAUUGGGCGUAAAGGGCAUGCAGGCGGUCUGGUAAGUUAGGCGUGAAAUCCCGGGGCUUAACCCCGGAACUGCGCUUGAUACUGCUGGACUAGAGUCAGUGAGGGGAGACUAGAAUUCCAGGUGUAGGGGUGAAAUCUGCAGAUAUCUGGAAGAAUACCGGUGGCGAAGGCAGGUCUCUAGCACAUGACUGACGCUCAUAUGCGAAGGUGCGGGGAG
rnacentral:rRNA from 1 species